rnacentral:rRNA from 1 species
AGCAGCCGCGGUAAUUCCAGCUCCAAUAGCGUAUAUUAAAGUUGUUGCAGUUAAAAAGCUCGUAGUUGAAUUUCGGGAUCAAUAUUUCGGUCAUGCCGUUGGUAUGCACUGUUAUCAUUGAUUUCUCACCUUCUAAAGAACCGUAAUGCCAUUAAUUUGGUGUUACGGGGAAUUAGGACUGUUACCUUGAAGAAAUUAGAGUGUUUAAAGCAGGCUCACGCUUGAAUACAUUAGCAUGGAAUAAUGAAAUAGGACAUCCGAUUCUAUUUUGUUAGGUUUCUAGGAUCGAUGUAAUGAUUAAUAGGAUAGUUGGGGCAUUAGUAUUCAAUUGUCAGAGGUGAAAUUCUUGGAUUUAUGAAGACUAACUACUGACGAAAGC